UACGUAGGGGGCUAGCGUUGUCCGGAUUUAUUGGGCGUAAAGAGCGUGUAGGCGGCCAGGUAGGUCUGGUGUGAAAACUCGAGGCUUAACCUCGAGAUGUCAUCGGAAACCAUCUGGCUAGAGUCCGGAAGAGGAGAGUGGAAUUCCUGGUGUAGCGGUGAAAUGCGCAGAUAUCAGGAAGAACACCAAUGGCGAAAGCAGCUCUCUGGGACGGUACUGACGCUGAGACGCGAAAGCGUGGGUAGCAAACAGG
rnacentral:rRNA from 1 species